rnacentral:rRNA from 1 species
AGAGGACCGGGAUGGACGUUCCGCUGGUGUACACCAGUUGUGCCGCCAGGCGCAUCGCUGGGUAGCUAUGAACGGAAGGGAUAAACGCUGAAAGCAUCUAAGUGUGAAGCCCCCCUCGAGAUGAGAUUUCCCAUUCCUAUAUGGAAGUAAGACCCCUGAGAGAUGAUCAGGUAGAUAGGCUGGAAGUGGAAGUGCAGCGAUGCAUGGAGCGGACCAGUACUAAUCGGUCGAGGACUUAACCAAG